GGCUUCGUAGCUCAAUGGCAGAGCUGGCGGCUCUUACCCGCAGGGUUGGAGGUUCGAGUCCUCCCGAGGCCA
rnacentral:tRNA from 1 species